UGAACAGGAGGGGCAGCUGCAAUGCAGACCCAAACUGUGGAUCUAUCUGAGCGACCAAUCAUGUACUAUGGAGGAAGUGUUUGGGGUAAACUACCUCACAAGAUCCUGGCUGCAGCAAACAACACAUUGCCUCCUCAAAAGAUAUCGCCAACGGAUUACAUGACUGAAGUGUGCCGAGGAUUGCUGAUGCCAAAAUCGUCAAGUUCUAACAAUUGAAUGGUCCUUGUUCUGCUGAUGGAUCCCAUAUAGACUAGUGAAAAUGGUGUUGGGUGUUUGUUGAGAUAAAGAAACUAUAGCUUCCCACACGACA